GAUUUCCGAGUGCGCCUGCGCAGGAGCUGGUGAGGCGUGUGAUUUGGGUGCUGACCUGCGCUGCGCGCUGUGGUUUAUUCCACAGAUAAUACCCUUCGCCCACUUUGAAUGGGGCUUGAAUGCCUACUCGUCCUUCAGGACCUAACCAGAUAUUACCUCUUUGGGGAAGCCUUCCAUGAACUCUACCACCCGUGUCCCCCGAAGACGCACCCUCAGUUAAGCGGGGACCCCUGGGAGUCACACACAUGAGCCCGGACUCAGAUUCAUGCUCUUUUCUCACACCUGAGUGACUUUGAGCCUCAGUGUCCUUUUCUGUGAAAUCAAAGGGUGGCUUUGAGGAUGAAAUGGACCAGCACCAGGGAAGUGUUUGAUUCAUGUCAGGACUCCCACUGUGGAAUGUAUAGUCAAUAAAACCUAAAAGCUUACCUUACGUUGGUUUAGGUUGAGGGAGAUCGUUAAGAAAUAUGUUUUUAAAUACGUUUUGCUGUAGAAAAAAAUAAGAACAAGCAGAAUUUUCUCCAGCACCAAGAGAAUUAAGAAGAAAAAAAGAUGUUAUAUGCUAUAUACACGAGGUCCGCAUGUAAUGAAUAGACUCAGAAAGUGAAAGUAAAAGGAUGGAAAAGAUACACCAGGCAAAGAACUCAGAGAAAUCUUUUAGCCACAUUAACCACCAACCAAAAGAGAUUUUGAGUCAGAAGGCACCAUCAGUAAUAAAAUGUCAUCACAGAGGAAAAAGGAACAACUAGGAUGAUGAAACAGUUCUAAACUGGGAUGCACAUAACAGCAUAGUCCCGGAAGGAAUAAAACUAAAGUUAACAGGACUGCAGGAAGAAAUUGACACAUUCCAGAAGCACUGUGACAUUUUAUUACCUCUCUCUCUCGGUAAUUAAUCAAGUAGACAAACAAUGAAGCUGUGGAAAAUUUGAACAAGACCACUAACCAGCUUGAACUCAUGGACAGAAAUGGGACCGAACGAUGUGAGCAUACAGGUUUUUGCCAGGCGCACAAGAACUAUGUACAGACGUCUGAGGGGUGGCUGUUCAGAAUGGUACCCAUUGGCCACAUGUGGCUAAUGAGUAUUUGAACUGUGAAUAGUCUGAAUCGAGCUGUGCUGAAAAUGUAAAUACCUACCAGAUGAGAAGACUUUAUGUGAAAAAAAAUGUGGAAUACCUCACUAAAAUAUUUUAUCUGAAUUGCAUGUUGAAAUGGUAAUAUUUUUAUACAGUGGGUUAAGUGUAAUAUUAAAAAGUAAUUGUACUUGUUUAUUUUUACUCGACAAA